GAUUAGGACACAGCUCACUGUCACUGACAGUCCUUAUUGCCGAACAACUCACAGCAAGGUUCUGCUCUUGUAUGGGAUGAAUUGCAUUGUGAAAGCUCACCACAGAGUAAAUAAACUAAAACUUAUACUAGAUAAGAUUUCAUCUACAAUAUGUGUAAUUUGGGCGAAACCUACGCCUGAUUGCCGUUACAGCGGAUAGUGUUGAUCAGAUCAUCUGCGGAUAUUCUCUAUAGGCCCGAGGCGUAUGCAGGACUCCGACGUCACAAUCAAAAGGUCAAUUCAACGAUCAUUCACGUUGAGGGUGAAGUCAAAGCAGACCUGUUUGACAUAGCAACAUGGUCAACCGGUUAUUGAAAGUCUGCAGGCAUGCAGCUUAUGCACAGCUUCACCAUGGUCUGUUGAACUCGGCUUGACCCAGAGAAUCAGAGGAAGGUGGAAUCAUGUAUCUAGGACAUUAUUAUUGUAAAUGUAUCCAAUUUGCACUAUUGGUGGUGCUAGAGGGCUUGAGUGGCAUACACCAAAAUUGCUGUGAUGGUACCUGAGACUGUCUUCUGUCACUAUGCUAAAUUUCAUAAAAAGGGUAUGAAGCAUUCUAUGGGCUGCCAUAGACUCCCUUGUGGAAGUAGUAGAAGAAGAAGAAAACAUACAGUCACUAUAGAGUGCCUAUGUACCUUCUGUGCUUGAACCCCUAAAAACAGAUUAGAAGGAGAUAAGUAUGGCAAAAGAGACUAAAUUUAAAAAAAAAACGGAUGUGGCAAAAAAAAAAAAAAACAGCUGUAAGCAUUUAUAUAGAAACAAUAGUGUUAUAGCCAUAAAUCUCCAUUUUUAAUAUCCACCAUAAGGCUAAUAAUAACAACUAAACCUGGGAAGCCUGUAGAUCAGGGGUGUCAGACAUACGGCUCGGUUCAAUCCGGCCCGCAGGAUGAAUUUUGAAAGUGGAAAAAAUGCAUAAAAGACACGAACUAGAAAUUUUUAAUAAAAUGCUAUUCUUAAAUUAUCCGCUAGGGGCGCACUAUUUGAGUCAGAGUAGAAGACGCGGCACAAUGCUGGGACUCAGACCGAACUGCAGAUGGUAACAAUGGCCCUUCUGCUGUUGGUUAUUACAUUGUGACCAGUUGUAACGCACACAUGUAAAUGAUAAUCAGAAGCAAAUUGCACAUGUUCUUCUUAAGAAAUCUGAGGUUGUUCAUGAUAUGUUUUGCAAAAGGAUAUUUCAUUAAAUAUGAAGAUUUUCCUAAGGUACUUGUACUUCUGUACACGAAAACAAAGAGGAAAAACAUGGACUUAUUGUUAUUUAAAGGUAAUUAUGCUAUGAUUUUACUGGCCGGCCCACUUGACAUCUAAUUAGGCUGUAUAUGGCCCCUGAGCUAAAAUGAGUUUGACAUCCCUGCUGUAGAUGAUGAAGCCUGUGGUGAACAAGUGUAUUGGUAGAUAUUAUUCUAAUAUUUAUCGUUUAAGUAUUAUCUUAAUAUUUAAACAUUUGAGUAUUUCUGAUCAAUAGCGCUCGACUGGCACACUAAAGGAUUGUAAAACUACCUUCAUAAGGUUCAACAGUCACCUCCAAUAAAGACACCUCAUGAACCAGACCCUUUAAAUUAUCAUCAAAUAACUCCUUAAAAAACACCCUUAUUGUAAGGAAAAGUAUGGGAAGAUAUCAACUUGUAAAAAUGAUGGAAUGUUAUUCCCAAAAAUUAUUUGUGGAGCUCUAACUUAAAUUGUAAGUUUGGCUUGUUUUCCAUUCACUUAGGUGGAAAUGGGAGGGGUUAAAAUUUUUACUGCAACUAGGGGGCCUACUAUUGGGCCUAAGAGACAUUUUGGCUUAAAUUCUACACCCCUGUAAGUAUGUCCACUCAUACACUGCAUACACUCAUUGGUCAAAACACAAAAUCAGUCACUGGCAAAGAAAAGGAAAAUUUAGGCGAGACCAAUAGAAAUUGCCAUGAAAAAAUUAUUUGGUGACAAUAUAAUUAAUACUGUUCAAUACAGUACGUUUUCCCAAAACUCAGGGAAGUGCCUAGAUCGGCCAGCAUUAUAGUAAAAAUAACAUUGAUGAAGAGACAUGCACACAAAGAAGUAAUUUAUUUUACACUUAAUGUUACACAAAGAAGUAAAAACCAUUGACUCCUGCAAUGAAACCGUUAGAAGAACAUUACUACAGGAAUGUUCCCAGAAUUUUUGUUACAAAAAUAGCAGUUAAAAGCAAACUUUACCAAAAGUCAUAAAAUCAUAAGAGAAUAUUUUAAAGUUUGGGGAACAGUGCUGGUAUUGUUAACCAAAACAACCUCCCCAUGCCUCCAAAUGG